GUGCUCACUUCAGCAGCACAAAUACUAAAAUUGGAAUGGUAUAGAGAAGAUUAGCAUGGCUCUGCAAGUAUGACAUGCAAAUUUGUGAAGCGUUCCAUUUUAAA